rnacentral:rRNA from 1 species
UACGUAGGUGGCGAGCGUUGUCCGGAUUUACUGGGCGGAAAGAGCUCGUAGGCGGUCUGUCGCGUCGGCUGUGAAAACUCGGGGCUCAACCCCGAGCCUGCAGCCGAUACGGGCAGACUAGAGUUCGGUAGGGGAGACUGGAAUUCCUGGUGUAGCGGUGAAAUGCGCAGAUAUCAGGAGGAACACCGGUGGCGAAGGCGCCACUCUGGGCCGGUACUGACGCUGAGGAGCGAAAGCGUGGGUAGCAAACAGG